rnacentral:rRNA from 1 species
AGAGUUUGAUCAUGGCUCAGAGUGAACGCUGGCGGCAGGCCUAAUACAUGCAAGUCGAACGGCAGCACAGCAGAGCUUGCUCUGUGGGUGGCGAGUGGCGGACGGGUGAGGAAUACGUGGGAAUCUGCCCAGUCGUGGGGAUAACGUAGGGAAACUUACGCUAAUACCGCAUGCGCCCUUCGGGGGAAAGCCGGGGACCUUCGGGCCUGGCGCGAUUGGAUGAGCCCACGUCGGAUUAGCUAGUUGGCGGGUAAAGGCCCACCAAGGCGACGAUCCGUAGCUGGUCUGAGAGGAUGAUCAGCCACACUGGAACUGAGACACGGUCCAGACUCCUACGGGAGGCAGCAGUAGGGAAUAUUGGACAAUGGGCGCAAGCCUGAUCCAGCCAUGCCGCGUGAGUGAAGAAGGCCCUCGGGUUGUAAAGCUCCUUUGUCCGGAAAGAAAAGCGCCGGGUUAAUACCCUGGUGUCCUGACGGUACCGGAAGAAUAAGCACCGGCUAACUUCGUG